rnacentral:rRNA from 1 species
GAUCCUGGCUCAGGAUGAACGCUAGCUACAGGCUUAACACAUGCAAGUCGGAGGGGCAGCAUGGUCUUAGCUUGCUAAGACUGAUGGCGACCGGCGCACGGGUGAGUAACACGUAUCCAACCUGCCGUCUACUCUUGGACAGCCUUCUGAAAGGAAGAUUUAAUACAAGAUGGCAUCAUGAGUCCGCAUGUUCACAUGNUUAAAAGGUAUUCCGGUAGACGAUGGGGG